AACACACCCCCCCCAAAUCAGCCCCCUCAGCAGCCAACGAACAACGCGCAGGACCCCCUCCACCCCACCCCGCCCCUCCCCGCAGGCAGGGAGGCCUCUCCCCGCGGCGGAGCCGCUCCUCCCCGCGGCGCCGCUUGGGCCGGCGAGUCAGCUGAUGGCAGCGGCGGUUCCCAUCAUGGCCUCCCGGCCGGGGCGGCUGCCGGCGGGGCCGGGGCGGCGGAGAGGCGCGGCGGAGGCCGGGAUCCUGCUUCUCCUCUGGUUCGCGGGUGCAGCCGUGGAGGGAGCGGCGGGCACGGAGCCACCGCUCAAGUGCGACGAGCUGAGGCUGGGGCAAUAUAUGUGCGAUGAGCCUAAAAUAGAUAAUAGUACACAAGAACCAAUGAAUUGUACAAAUCACACAGCAUAUGUUCAGUGUCUGCCAGCACCAAAUAUUACUUGCAAAGAUCACCUUGGCAUAGAAAAAGUCUUUACGGGACAUGAAGUUGGAUUUUACAAGCCUAUUGCAUGUCGCAAUGUAAAUGGAUACUCUUACAAAGUGGCAGUGGCUCUGUCCUUAUUUCUUGGAUGGUUGGGAGCAGAUAGAUUUUAUCUAGGCUAUCCUGCAUUAGGUUUGUUAAAGUUCUGCACUGUAGGAUUUUGUGGAAUUGGUAGCCUAAUUGAUUUCAUACUUAUUUCAAUGCAGAUUGUUGGACCUUCCGAUGGCUCUAGUUACAUCAUAGAUUACUAUGGAGCAAGGCUUACACGGCUCACUAUUACCAAUGCAACAUUCAGGAAAAUGCAGACCUAUCCCUAACCCUGGCAAGUCUUCUUCAAAGUUCCUUGGAUUUACGGUGGGGAAGACAUGGCAAGAACAUGUAAGAGGAUAUCACUGCCUGUGAAGAACUGACUGGGUGUUCACCUUGAGCCUGAUGAGACUGCCCACUGUAUGGAUUGUGUUGGCAGAGGCAGAAGCCUGGGGAAUGCAGAGGUGGGGGGAACAUCAGAAAUUGUGUUGGAUGUUACCAUUCAACUGCGCCCACCAGUGCUGUGAGCUGCGACCAAGCAACUGCUCUUCUUCCAACCUUCCUUUGGAAACCUUCCCCGCACUGCAGGAAACCAAGCCGCAGCGCCCGGCCAUGGCUGCGCAGCGCCCGGCCAGCCCGGAUCUCAUUAAAUAUUAAAGCUUUGGAGGCAAAAUGGCCAGUGACAAAUAGCUGUACGUGGAGCAAACAAACAGCGUCAUUCCUCACACGGCUGUCCCGGCGCCGGGGUUGCCAAGCGCCGCCGUGCCGGCACACACCAUACCGCGCGCAGGGAUGGCAGCGAGAAAAGUUUGACGAGCCGCUGCUGGCCACGUGAGCAAACUUGGGAGAUGAAUAUUCCUCUCCUUCCAUCAGCUCCUUUCAAGCAGACUGGAAAGAAAGAAAGAAAAGGAAGAGGAAAAAAAAAAAUCCCUGGCAAUAUCCAGCAAAAGGACAAAAUAAUGAGAAAGCGAUGAAUCACGGUGCUUUUCUGUACGCUAUACAAAGGGCUUUGCUUGCCCUGGGAGCCGCCGGAGCAGUGUGGGUUUGCUGAAAUUAUAAGCAUCCUUACAGGGGUGGGGAGGAAGAAAUAAAAAACUUCUGUAAAAUAAUCUAAUUCUGGCCGACUAGCUAGGUAAAAGCUUUAUUUGCUAGAAUAGUGAUUAAAACAUAUAACAUGGCUAGCCUAAGAGAAUAUUAGAGUUCAUAAGGGAUGGGGGUGCUGGCACCUGUCAGGGAAGGCAGAGUCUGGCUCACCAUAGGCACUGGGCGCCGCCGAGGUGCCUGGGGAGGUCUUGGCCCAAAUACCCGCGUGGUGCUGCAGGAGACGCUCCCAAAGCCAGGCUGUGAAGCAAGGCACGGUGCCCUUGGGGGGGAAGUGCCCCCUCCAGGCAGGGUGUCCCUGCACCCCACUGGCUUUAGCUGAUAACUUACGAUUUUCUCAAAUCAAGGCCAACUCUCUUUUACUUAAUUAUUUACUACUAUUUAAUUACUAAUAUUUAAUAUCAAGUGAAGAAGCGGCAGAAGCAGUGGCCUGGCGUCAGGCUGGGCUCGCCAUGGGCGCAACAGUAGCAUGUCCUGAUGGCUCGUAUGUGAGGACAAACUGUGAAACAAAAUACAUAUUCCCAUAUAUGUGGAAGUUCAUGGCUUGAGGGACCCACUCAUCUUUCCCACGGUUGAGGGAUCCCAGAGCAUUGCUGUGUUUCUGCUAACAAGAGCCAUUAUCUCAUGAGGAGCAAACAGGGACGAGAACAGAGAGGCCAGAAAUUAAAUUUUAAAAAUGAAUACUUUUAAUAAAAUUAACAGUUAAGAACAGUUCGUCCAUGGUUUUGGUCACCAAUGG